GUUUUCCCCGGCCUCGUGCCGGGGCCUCAUUGAAGC
rnacentral:other from 1 species